GCCCGGCUGGCACAAUUGGUUAGCGCGUGAGACUUUUAAGUAAUACCUAUGGUAUUCGCCCUGAGAGAUCUCAAGGUUGGGAGUUCGAGCCUCCCGUCGGGCG